rnacentral:rRNA from 1 species
AGGGCAUACGGUGGAUGCCUAGGCGCCAAGAGCCGAAGAAGGACGCGGUAAGCUGCGAAAAGCCACGGGGAACUGCAAGCAAGUAUUGAUCCGUGGAUAUCCGAAUGGGGAAACCCGGCCAUCGUCAUGGAUGGUCACCCGCAAGGGAGGGAACCUGGGGAACUGAAACAUCUAAGUACCCGGAGGAAGAGAAAUCAAACGAGAUGCCCACAGUAGCGGCGAGCGAAGAGGGCAGAGCCCAAACCGAGAAGCUCCGGCUUUUCGGGGUUGAGGACCGGCAGAAUCGAAGUCAGGCCUAGUUGAAUUACCUGGAAAGGUAAGCGAGAGAGGGUAAAAGCCCCGUAGACGAAAGGCAGAGCAGAGAGGCCGAGAUCCAGAGUACCACGAAGCACGAGGAAUUUUGUGGGAAGCAGGGGGGACCACCCUCCAAGGCUAAAAACUACUUGGCGACCGAUAGCGCAUAGUACCGUGAGGGAAAGGUGAAAAGAACCCCGGGAGGGGAGUGAAAUAGUACCUGAAACCGUAUGUCUACAAGCAGUCGAAGCGAAAGCGACGGCGUGCCUAUUGAAGAAUGAACCAACGAGUUAUCUGCACUAGCGAGGUUAAGUGGAAGACACGGAGCCGCAGCGAAAGCGAGUCUUAAGAGGGCGCUAGUUAGUGUAGGUAGACCCGAAACCGCAGUGAUCUACCCAUGUCCAGGUUGAAGCGCAGGUAAAAUUGCGUGGAGGACCGAACCGGUGAGCGUUGAAAAGCUUUCGGAUGAGAUGUGGGUAGGGGUGAAAUUCCAAUCGAACGCGGAGAUAGCUGGUUCUCCCCGAAAUAGCUUUAGGGCUAGCCUGAGGUAGUAAGUAUAGGCGGUAGAGCACUGAUCGGGCUAGGGGCCGUAAAGGUUACCGAACCCUGUCAAACUCCGAAUGGAUAUACUGUAGAGCCUUGGAGUCAGACUACGAGUGAUAAGAUCCGUGGUCAAAAGGGAAACAGCCCAGACCACCAGCUAAGGUCCCCAAUGUCGUACUAAGUGGAAAAGGAUGUGGGGUUUCAUAAACAACCAGGAUGUUGGCUCAGAAGCAGCCACCAUUUAAAGAGUGCGUAAUAGCUCACUGGUCGAGAGACCCUGCGCCGAAGAUUCCCGGGGCUAAAGUACGAAACCGAAGCUGUGGCUGUAUACGUAAAGUAUACGGGGUAGGGGAGCGUUCCCAUAGGGUAGAAGUCGAACUGGAAGGUUCGGUGGACUUGUGGGAAGUGAGAAUGUUGGUAUGAGUAGCGAAAAGAAAGGUGAGAAUCCUUUCCACCGAAAGCAUAAGGAUUCCUGAGCAACGAUCGUCGUCUCAGGGUAAGUCGGGACCUAAUCCGAGGCAGAGAGCGUAGGAGAUGGACAACUGGUUGAUAUUCCAGUACCGGUAGUAAUUGUUUGAGCAAUGGAGUGACACAGAAGGGCAGGCAAGCAUGCGAAUGGAAGAGCAUGUGUAAGCGUGUAGGGUGGUGCAUAGGCAAAUCCGUGCACUGAAAGCCUGAGGCGUGAUGCGGAGUGAGCAGAGAUGCGAGCGAAGUUGUUGACCCCACACUGUCGAGAAAAGCUUCUAGUGAGAGAGCUACCGCCCGUACCGUAAACCGACACAGGUAUGCGGGGAGAGAAUCCUAAGGUGCGCGGGAGAACCCUCGUUAAGGAACUCGGCAAAAUGUACCCGUAACUUCGGGAUAAGGGUAGCCACUGUUGUGAAGUCCCAUGCGGAUGGAGCAUAGAGUGGUCGCAGAGAAGAGGCCCAAGCGACUGUUUACCAUAAACACAGGUGCCUGCUAAAGCGAAAGCUGACGUAUAGGUGCUGACACCUGCCCAGUGCCGGAAGGUUAAGGAAGGAUGUUCGGAGUAAUCCAAAGCAUUCGACUGAAGCCCCGGUGAACGGCGGCCGUAACUAUAACGGUCCUAAGGUAGCGAAAUUCCUUGUCGGGUAAGUUCCGACCCGCACGAAAGGUGUAACGAUUUGGGCACUGUCUCAACGAGGGACCCGGUGAAAUUGAAAUACCUGUGAAGAUGCAGGUUACCCGCGACUGGACAGAAAGACCCCAUGGAGCUUUACUGUAACCUGACAUUGGGUUUUGAUACAUUACGUACAGGAUAGGUGGGAGGCAUGGAAAGCUGGACGCUAGUCUGGCUGGAGCCGACGUUGGGAUACCACCCUUGAUGUAUUGAAAUUCUAACCGCGAGAGUAACGAAAUCCGGGACAGUGUCAGGCGGGCAGUUUGACUGGGGCGGUCGCCUCCGAAAGAGUAACGGAGG